GACAGAGGGUGCAAACGUUGCUCGGAUUUACUGGGCGUAAAGCGCGUGUAGGCGGAUGGGUAAGUCAGAUGUGAAAUCCCUGGGCUCAACCUAGGAACUGCACCUGAAACUGCCCAUCUGGAGUAGUGGAGAGGAGAGGCGGAAUUCCUGGUGUAGAGGUGAAAUUCGUAGAUAUCAGGAGGAACACCGGUGGCGAAGGCGGCUCUCUGGACACUUACUGACGCUGAGACGCGAAAGCGUGGGGAGCAAACAGG
rnacentral:rRNA from 1 species